GGGAAAUGUGCCGAGGGGCCGGGGCUCCGCGGGGCCAGUCCCGGCGACGCAGCCACCCGUGCGCGAGCGAUCGCUCGGCCACCCGCGCCCCAGCCCCAGUCCGCGCUUGGCGCCUGGGGUCUGCGAGCCCUUCGGGCUCCGGGCGGCGCACGGGGCGGGCGGGAGCCGGCAGCGCAGGACGCCGAGCUCCAGGUGCCCUGCAAGCGGCUGCGCGCCGCGGUGCCCGGCUGGGUUGGGGACUGUCGCUGGGUGCUGAGCUAGUGGAUUGCAGCGGAAAAUCAAAGAUGUCACAGUGGAUCCUUUGCCUCCAGGACACAUAAAGGUGAGAAUAUGACCUCUGGCUGUCUAGAACUAGCCUGAGAGUGUAAGGCAGCCAUGGAUAUGGGAUAUGAGCUACUCAAUGAGAGCCACACUUGGCUUUCCCCUCCAUUUGACCUUGAUGGCUCUGGGGUGGCGGCCAACAGCUCCAACCAGACAGAGCCGUACUAUGAUCUGACCAGCAAUGCAGUCCUCACAUUCAUCUACUUUGUGGUCUGCAUCAUUGGAUUGUGUGGCAACACACUUGUCAUUUAUGUCAUCCUCCGCUAUGCCAAGAUGAAGACCAUCACCAACAUUUACAUCCUCAACCUGGCCAUCGCAGACGAGCUCUUCAUGCUGGGUCUGCCCUUCCUGGCCAUGCAGGUGGCUCUGGUCCACUGGCCCUUUGGCAAGGCCAUUUGCCGGGUGGUCAUGACUGUGGAUGGCAUCAAUCAGUUCACCAGCAUUUUCUGCUUGACGGUCAUGAGUAUCGAUCGAUACCUGGCUGUGGUCCACCCCAUCAAGUCGGCCAAGUGGAGAAGACCCCGAACGGCCAAGAUGAUCAAUGUGGCCGUGUGGGGAGUGUCCCUGCUGGUCAUCUUGCCUAUCAUGAUAUAUGCUGGGCUUCGGAGCAACCAGUGGGGGAGAAGCAGCUGUACCAUCAACUGGCCAGGUGAAUCUGGGGCAUGGUACACGGGGUUCAUUAUCUACACCUUCAUCUUGGGGUUCCUGGUGCCCCUCACCAUCAUCUGUCUUUGCUACCUGUUCAUUAUCAUCAAGGUGAAGUCCUCUGGGAUCCGAGUGGGUUCCUCCAAGCGGAAAAAGUCUGAGAAGAAGGUCACGCGGAUGGUGUCCAUAGUGGUGGCGGUAUUCAUUUUCUGCUGGCUUCCCUUCUACAUCUUCAAUGUCUCCUCUGUCUCGGUGGUCAUCAGUCCCACCCCAGCCCUUAAAGGCAUGUUUGACUUUGUGGUGGUCCUCACCUAUGCUAACAGCUGCGCCAACCCUAUCCUGUAUGCCUUCUUGUCUGACAACUUCAAGAAGAGCUUCCAGAAUGUCCUCUGCUUGGUCAAGAGAAGAAAAUGUGGGCUGGUGCGUGGGACUUCCAGAGCCGGCCGGGAACCGGAGUCUACUUGCUAACACAGAUUUAACCUCCGUGUCGGAAUACAAGUGUUGAUGGCUGGAUGGGAGCCCCGUGCUGGAAAAGUGUACAGUCUGGUCGUUGAGAGAGGCAUGAACGUACCUCCACAAAGAGGCGCGCCAACGUAAAAGAAGUCUUCCCUUUGUCCAUCGUCCCACUACAGGGCAUUUCUGGGCUUCAGGAUAUCUACAUCAGCUCCUUUUUGGUGCUUUCUGAGUACCUGCCAGUAUGUGACAGGGAAGACAGCUAUGCCGCCCAUCUGUAAUCCCGACGCUUCGGGAGCAAAGACUUGGACUGCAUAAAGGCUCACUCUGUUUGGCUGCAGCUUAAACGCCUCUGAACAGAUUAAAAUAGUCCCCUGAAUCUUUCUUCCUAACUUCCAGGUGGAUGAGCACCAUUGUGUUUAUGAGGCUUGCUCUGGAAGGCAACAGACCGCAGGUGGUUCAUUUUUCCUUGCUUCUGCACCUCCGCACAGCCACCUUUUGCAUGGUCCUCGCUCCAAGGGGCCUGUGGGCAGAAGGUGGCAGCAUCGUAUCCUCAGCGGUGCUGUAUGUGGCCUCUGCUGGGGGCGGGCGGUCUUUGCAGCCAAGGAAACCCAUCCCUCCUCAACCUUCAACCGAACACUUCUAUCCAACGGAAUAGAGGCAAAAUCUGGUCUGCUAUCAGCAACGUGGUUCUGGGCUAUUGAAUCAGCGUGGAAAUGGGUUUUUAGAAGAUCUGGGAUUUCAUGGCUUCCUUCACUGCCUCCAGGACCAGUGAGGUCAACCCUCAUUGCUGGAGAAGCACCAACGCAAGGCACUGAAGUGGCAGGCGGACUGAGUCCCCAGCGAACCCAAAUGUCGGGGGUGGGCUUCGCCUUCCAGAACGCCAAGUCAGCUGAGGUCCCGAGGGACUUGGGGGAGUGUCAGCGAAGGAGACGGGGAGUCUGACCCUGUAAAAAUAGCCCAUCAGAGUUCCGGUCCUUCAGCCAUUUCCUCCAUCUGUCUUCCAAAUCAGUGUUCUCUCAUGUCUAUUGAAAUAUAUGCCUAUAUUGAAAUUUUAAAAAUACCUUCUCUUGACACGUCCACGAUGCCCGCCUUUAAACAACAGAAGGGCACCCCUUAGUUUUCAUAAAAUGAGAAUGUGAGGAGUGCUUUUGAGGGAAAUAGUCAGUGGGGGCAUUUCAUCUUACAAGGGGAUGACGCCGACCUGGGCCUCUUUCCUGUCCCCGUCCCUCCUGGC